ACAGCCAUAUCAUGUUGAAACAUUGAUUCUCAUACAAUCACCAAAGUUAAGCAACGUUAAACCUGAUCAGUACUUAGAUGGGCAACCACUUGGGAAUUCCAGGUGCCGUAAG